rnacentral:tRNA from 1 species
GCCUCGAUUGCUCAGUCGGGAGAGCGUUAGACUGAAGAUCUAAAGUUCCCUGGUUCAAUCCCGGGUCGAGGCA